rnacentral:lncRNA from 1 species
CAGAGCUGUGCGGUGAGUGUCAUUUCAUCCUGCCUCGCAUCGCCAGGAGAGCUUUCUUUUCUGUGGGCCCCCAAAGCAGAAAAAGCGGUUUCUGCAACCUGCAGCCGAUGGCAGAAACACCGAGCGUCCUCCGCCGGAGACUGCCCACCGCCGCGUCCUCCGCCCGCACUGACAUUCCUGGCACCUGGUCCCGAAGCUGCUCUACGGCCACGCAUCCUCUGCCAAGGCUGCCUGCCCAACCUUGUGCCCACGUUUGGCCUCAAAACCAUGACACCUCAGUGUGUUGUCACCGCUGCUCAUUGCAGAAAGGCCCGGCAGAUGCCAGGGUUUCAGCCAACACCGCAGUUUCAGCCACCAGUGAUGACGUUCUCAGCUCUGAGGUGCAAACCGCACUACCGCUGCUGCACCCAAGUGCGGUUCCUGCCAAGAUUCAACUCAAACCAACCUCAGCUGAACACCUGUGCCACAUGCUGGCCAAAAACAGUUACUGCAUCUGGAGUAGAAGCCAAGAGGUAAAAUCAUGGCAGAAAAUUUAACAUUGCAAUCCAUUGGGAAUAUCUUUGCUUCUUACAAAGAGGAGGUUGUUGUUAGAAGAUGUUUCUGAUUUGCCAGUUACCUGCCUGUAUGCCAUAUUGGCAGCCUACCUUAUGAUACACAUGAUCACUCUAACCAGAUUCCGAGAAACAGGGAAAGAGAGAGUUUAGCAACUUGGAUGCAGGAAAUAAAAGCCAGCCAGCAAAACUUGGUAUCUAGAUGCAAGACAUGAAACGUUUAUAUAAAGAGGUGGAAAAUACUCCAUCUGGCCGUGCCACAUUAUUAAAUCAGGUAAAACACAUCCGUGAUCAAAUAGAAACAAAGAUUUGUUCCAUGUCUGAUACUCUAGAUGCAAAGUUGUCAGUGAACCAAGACAAGGUUCAACAAAUUUAUGGCCAAAUAAACAUGAAGAACUGUUCCAUGUCUGACACUUUAGAUGCUAGGAUGACUGGGGACCAGAACAGGGUGGAACAUAUCCAUAGCCAAAUAGAAACAAGAAUCCAUUAUGUGUCUGAUACUUUCGAUGCAAA